UACUACCGAAGCUACGGCAUCAGUAAUGAUGGGUAGGGGAGCUUCCCAUACGGGUUGAAGCAUGACCGUAAGGACAUGUGGACAGUAUGGGAGUGAGAAUGUUGGCAUGAGUAGCGAGAUGUGGGUGGGAAUCCCACAGGCCGUAAACCCAAGGUUUCCAGGGGAAGGUUCGUCCGCCCUGGGGUAGUCGGGACCUAAGCUGAGGCCGAAAGGCGUAGGUGAUGGACAACAGGUUGAUAUUCCUGUACUACCGAUAACCGUUUGAGAGAAGGGAUGACACAGUAGGAUAAGCUAAGCACACUGUUGGUUAUGUGUGCCCAAGCAUUGAGGCAGUCAAAGUAGGCAAAUCCACUUUGAUAAUGCUGGGAUGUGAUGGGGAGCGAAAUUUAGUAGCGAAGUAGCUGAUUUCACACUGUCAAGAAAAGUCUCUAUCGAGGUUAAAGGUACCCGUACCGCAAACCGACACAGGUGGGUGAGG
rnacentral:rRNA from 1 species